UGGGGAAUUUUGGACAAUGGGCGCAAGCCUGAUCCAGCAAUGCCGCGUGCAGGAUGAAGGCCUUCGGGUUGUAAACUGCUUUUGUACGGAACGAAACGGCUCUGGUUAAUACCUGGGGCUAAUGACGGUACCGUAAGAAUAAGCACCGGCUAACUACGUGCCAGCAGCCGCGGUAAUACGUAGGGUGCGAGCGUUAAUCGGAAUUACUGGGCGUAAAGCGUGCGCAGGCGGUGAUGUAAGACAGAUGUGAAAUCCCCGGGCUCAACCUGGGAACUGCAUUUGUGACUGGAUAGCUAGAGUACGGCUGAGGGGGAUGGAAUUCCGCGUGUAGCAGCGAAAUGCGUAGAUAUGCGGAGGAACACCGAUGGCGAAGGCAAUCCCCUGGGCCUGUACUGACGCUCAUGCACGAAAGCGUGGGGAGCAAACA
rnacentral:rRNA from 1 species